CCCUUAGAUGUUCUGGGCCGCACGCGUGCUACACUGAACGGUUCAAUGGGUAAGGUAGUGCGAAAGCAUGACCUAAUCUCGAAAUCCGUUCGUGCUGGGGAUAGAAGCUUGCAAUUAUCCUUCUUGAACGAGGAAUGCCUUGUAAGCGUGAGUCAUCAUCUCACGCUGAAUACGUCCCUGCCCUUUGUACACACCGCCCGUCGCUCCUACCGAUUGAGUGUUCCGGUGAGGCUUUGGGAGAAUGGCCUCAACAUGAGUUUAUCGUGUUUUGCCGUUUGAACUUAGUCAAACCUUAUCACUUAGAGGAAGGAGAAGUCGUAACA
rnacentral:rRNA from 1 species